rnacentral:rRNA from 1 species
CCUACGGGCGGCAGCAGUAGGGAAUCUUCCGCAAUGGGCGAAAGCCUGACGGAGCAACGCCGCGUGAGUGAUGAAGGGUUUCGGCUCGUAAAACUCUGUUAUUCGGGAAGAACAAAUGUGUAAGUAACUGUGCACGUCUUGACGGUACCUAAUCAGAAAGCCACGGCUAACUACGUGCCAGCAGCCGCGGUACUACGGAGGUGGCAAGCGUUAGCCGGAAUUAUUGGGCGUAAAGCGCGCGUAGGCGGUUUCUUAAGUCUGAUGGGAAAGCCCACGGCCCAACCGUGGAGGGUCAUUGGAAACUGGGAAACUUGAGUGCAGAAGAGGAAAGUGGAAUUCGAUGUGUAGCGGUGAAAUGCGCAGAGAUAUGGAGGAACACCAGUGGCGAAGGCGACUUUCUGGUCUGUAACUGACGCUGAUGUGCGAAAGCGUGGGGAUCAAACAGGAUUAGAUACCCUUGUAGUC